UACAGAGGUCUCAAGCGUUUGUUCGGAUUCAUUGGGCGUAAAGGGUGCGUAGGUGGCGCCGUAAGUCAGGUGUGAAAUUUCGGAGCUUAACUCCGAAACUGCAUUUGAUACUGCGGUGCUUGAGGACUGGAGAGGAGACUGGAAUUUACGGUGUAGCAGUGAAAUGCGUAGAGAUCGUAAGGAAGACCAGUGGCGAAGGCGGGUCUCUGGGACAGUUCCUGACACUGAGGCACGAAGGCCAGGGGAGGCAAACGGG
rnacentral:rRNA from 1 species